AGGAUGAACGCUGGCGGCGUGCUUAACACAGUGCAAGUACGAACGAGAAAUGUAGACGGAACCUUACGGGCGGAAGGCGUUCAUUCGAGUGGCGGACGGGUGAGUAACGCGUGGGUAACCGUGCCUCAUACAGGGGAUAACAGUGGAAACGACUGUUAUACCGCAUAAGACCACAGCACCGCAUGGUGCGGGGGUAAAAACUCCGGUGGUAUGAGAUGGACCCGCGUUCGAUUAGCCAGUUGGCGGGGUAACGGCCCACCAAAGCGACGAUCGAUAGCCGAUCUGAGAGGAUGACCGGCCACAUUGGGACUGAGACACGGCCCAAACUCCUACGGGAGGCAGCAGUGGGGAAUAUUGCACAAUGGGGGAAACCCUGAUGCAGCGACGCCGCGUGAGUGAAGAAGUACUUCGGUAUGUAAAGCUCUAUCAGCAGGGAAGAAAAUGACGGUACCUGAGUAAGAAGCCCCGGCUAACUACGUG
rnacentral:rRNA from 1 species